GACGAACGCUGGCGGCGUGCCUAAUACAUGCAAGUCGAACGCACAGUUUAUACCGUAGCUUGCUACACCAUAUACUGUGAGUUGCGAACGGGUGAGUAACGCGUAGGUAACCUGCCUGGUAGCGGGGGAUAACUAUUGGUAACGAUAGCUAAUACCGCUUAAUAUUGAUUAUUGCAUGAUUAUUGUUUGAAAGAUGCUAUUGCAUCACUACCAGAUGGACCUAAGUUGUAUUAGCUAGUAGGGGAGGUAACGGCUCACCGAGGGGACGAUACAUAACCGACCUGAGAGGGGGAGAGGCCUAGCUGGGAUGGGGACACGGCCCAGAACACUAGGGGAGGGAGCCGUAGGGGAUCCUUGGGAAUGGAAGAAAGGCUGAACGAGGGACGCCGCGUGAGUGAAGGAGGUUGUCGGGUCGUGAAGGUCUGGUGUGAGUGAAGGACGGGAGGGAGAGUGGAACGUUCACACUGUGACAGUACCGGACGAGUAAGCGACGGCUAACUACGUG
rnacentral:rRNA from 1 species